rnacentral:tRNA from 1 species
CGACGAGAAGGCGAGUGGAAAGCCAUCCGCGUCAUGCGGCGGGGGUCUGAGGUUUACGCAGACUGGGAAGCAGCAAUGCUUCUUUGCGGGUUCGAAUCCCGCCUCGUCGC